GAGCGGACGUAGCAAUACGUCAGCGGCAGACGGGAGAGUAACACGUGGGAACGUACCCUUUGGUUCGGAACAACCCAGGGAAACUUGGGCUAAUACCGGAUAAGCCCUCACGGGGAAAGAUUUAUCGCCGAAGGAUCGGCCCGCGUCUGAUUAGCUAGUUGGUGGGGUAAUGGCCCACCAAGGCGACGAUCAGUAGCUGGUCUGAGAGGAUGAUCAGCCUCACUGGGACUGAGACACGGCCCAGACUCCUACGGGAGGCAGCAGUGGGGAAUAUUGGACAAUGGGCGCAAGCCUGAUCCAGCCAUGCCGCGUGAGUGAUGAAGGCCCUAGGGUUGUAAAGCUCUUUUGUGCGGGAAGAUAAUGACGGUACCGCAAGAAUAAGCCCCGGCUAACUUCGUG
rnacentral:rRNA from 1 species